UGUUUUAUCUAGAAACACUUCAGUGAUGACUCUUUCCAAGUGUACACAGUGAGCUCCAAGGAGUUUCUGAAACCAAAGGUUCUCAGUGCAGAGAACACUGAAAUCCCCAAGCUUCAGAAUGCUUUGCAAAAUCUCAAUGACAGUCACUCAGAGACGCUGAACUAUGUUUCUGGAGCUUAUGGGAUUCUCUCUUUGAUUCAUGGAGCCAGCUU